CUUCCCCGAAACUCUGUCUCUGACUUGAGGAGGGCCAUGAGUAGAAACUCCUUGAAGAAGAAAGUGUCCUUGAAUCCUUCCAUCUGCAAAAAACCCACCCCAGGGAAUCACGACAAGCAGUUUCACCCCCAUGGAUAACACGCACUGAUGACAACAAAGGGCACAGACUUUGUGGUCCGCCUAUCACAUGUUCCUCGUCCCCCCCUUCCCCCCCCCCCGGACAAAAAAUGGCGGAAAAUCCCUCCUUUGGGGAGUUCAUAUUAACUAACUCAUUAGUCCCUUUCACCCUGUUCUCGACCUGGUGCUUGGAUCAGUGGCUCCGUAUCUUGCUCUGUACAAGUCACCGGGUCAGGCCUUUCUCUAAGUCUUCAUCCUUGGGUGGAACAUGUGGGAAUCCCGUUGGAAGCAGGAUUCUCCCAGCAUGGCGCUCUCGCAGGGCAGUGGGAUAAGAAUCCAGCAGAGAAGAACUAACAUUUGGUCAGCGGAGGCUGCCAAGUGGGAAAAGGCGACCAGGACAGGGAACAUCAGCCUAAUUGUCAAGAACGUUCUAUUUUUUUUAAAUAGAGUAAGAUUUGGUUCUAAUUCAUUCGACCUGAAGCAUCCACCACAGCUUACAGAGAGCUUUGAUUUGAUUUUACUUGAAAAUAACCUCAGGGGCUCGAGCAAACACAGCUAAGCAAGGCGGUGGCACGGAUGGGGCCCAGAAAGGUGCCCGGAGACAACCUGGGCAUUGACAAAAGUGUUCCCUGGGGCAGGGGCAAGAAGGCGCUGACGGAUCAGUUUAGUGCGUCGGUCCCAGCCUGGGGGAGGGGGAGGAGGGGGUUAAUCCAGUCCGGGAUCCCAGUCAUGGCAAGUCUCUCAGGCUCAGUUUUCCCUAUAAAUCAGCAUGUGGCUCUGGCCAUUGACGCUGAGCACCUCUGGGUCCCGCCCCCUGGCGCCCCGCCCCUCAUGGGGUCUUUCCUAAACGGGAUAAACUGAGUGAAGACCUCUCACAAGGACACGGCCUCCCCCAGGCCCUGGUUGGGACUUGAGACUUUGCAGUAACAAGUUGAGUCCUGGUUAAAAGCUGCGGGUGUUCCAUUAUCUUAGGUAAACAUUUCCUCCAGUCUCCACACACACCCUUUUUUUUUCCCCCUGAGAUAAUGGGGGUUAAGUGACUUGCCCAGGGUCACACAGCCAGGAAGUGUUAAGUGUUCAGUGUUUAGGUCGGAUUUGAAUUCAGGUCCUCCUGAGUCCAGGGCUGGUGCCCCAUCCAUCCACUGCGCCACCUAGCGGCCCCUCCCCCCCACUCCUUUUCAUCAGCACUUAAGUAUUUAAGACAGUAAAGAGUGUGCUCGUUUCUGGGCUCUGGUAAAUUAGAACUCCCCAGCCAAUAGGGAAGGGGGGCGGGGCGUCUGGUUAGGGUCUGUAUAAAGUUGCAUUCUGCGCUCUGCACUUUGGCUCCUCAGGUUAUGAAGAAGCUCUGGGGCAGGUGGUGGGGGAGCGUUAGGAGUGAAUCCUGGAGUGUUUGUCCUCCAGUGAUUAUGUGGGCCACGAACCUGUGUAAAUGUAACUGAAUGAAGUGAGCAGAACCAAGAGAACAUCGUACGUGGCAAAAAAUUAUACAACGAUCAAUUCUGACAGACGGGGUUCUUUUAAUCAGUGAGGUAACUUGGGCCAGUCCCAAUGGAGAGAGCCAUGGACUUCCAGACAGAGGACUAUGGGGACUGAGUGUGGAUCAGAGCAGAGCAUUUUCACUUUUUUUGCUGUCGUUGGCUUGCAUUUUGUUUUCGCUCAUUUUUUUUUUUUUUAGAUCUGAUUUUUCUUGUGCAGCAUGGUAAUUGUGGAAAUAAGUAUAGAAAAACUGCACAUUUAGCCUAUAUUGAAUUACUUGCUAUCUAAGGAAGGGGGGGGGGGAAGAGAGGGAGAAAAAAAAUUUGAAAUGCAAGCUUUUGCAAGGGAACGUUGAAAACUAUGCAUAUGUUUUAAAAAUAAAAAGCUAAGAUUCGUCUUUCUUA